CCAGGAGCUUGCUCCUGGGUGAGAGUGGCGAACGGGUGAGUAAUGCGUGACCGACCUGCCCCAUACACCGGAAUAGCUCCUGGAAACGGGUGGUAAUGCCGGAUGCUCCAGUUGAAUGCAUGUCCCUCUGGGAAAGCUUCAUCGGUAUGGGAUGGGGUCGCGUCCUAUCAGCUUGAUGGCGGGGUAACGGCCCACCAUGGCUUCGACGGGUAGCCGGCCUGAGAGGGCGACCGGCCACAUUGGGACUGAGAUACGGCCCAGACUCCUACGGGAGGCAGCAGUGGGGAAUAUUGCACAAUGGGCGCAAGCCUGAUGCAGCGACGCCGCGUGCGGGAUGACGGCCUUCGGGUUGUAAACCGCUUUUGACUGGGAGCAAGCCCUUCGGGGUGAGUGUACCUUUCGAAUAAGCACCGGCUAACUACGUGCCAGCAGCCGCGGUAAUACGUAGGGUGCAAGCGUUAUCCGGAAUUAUUGGGCGUAAAGGGCUCGUAGGCGGUUCGUCGCGUCCGGUGUGAAAGUCCAUCGCUUAACGGUGGAUCCGCGCCGGGUACGGGCGGGCUUGAGUGCGGUAGGGGAGACUGGAAUUCCCGGUGUAACGGUGGAAUGUGUAGAUAUCGGGAAGAACACCAAUGGCGAAGGCAGGUCUCUGGGCCGUCACUGACGCUGAGGAGCGAAAGCGUGGGGAGCGAACAGGAUUAGAUACCCUGGUAGUCCACGCCGUAAACGGUGGAUGCUGGAUGUGGGGACCAUUCCACGGUCUCCGUGUCGGAGCCAACGCGUUAAGCAUCCCGCCUGGGGAGUACGGCCGCAAGGCUAAAACUCAAAGAAAUUGACGGGGGCCCGCACAAGCGGCGGA
rnacentral:rRNA from 1 species